rnacentral:lncRNA from 1 species
AGCUCAUUCUUAAAACAUGGGCAUGCAUUAGUGCACCUUUAUACCCCUGUUCAGAACAACGAACAGUAAACAAUAGAAGAUCAACACAACGCAGGAAAUAAAUAUUUGGACAUGCAUCAUCUUAGGCAAAAAAACUGGUAGAUUAGAUGUCAAGUGGCAACACUUGAGUUCUGGUAGGAGUAGAAUUAAGAACAUUACUCUCUCCUGCCCCACAGACUAUAUAUCCUACAUGUAUUUUGGUUCACAUAGGAAUUGAAAUAAACGCCCACCAAGUAAUA